GCAGGCUGNAACCCGCCUGCAUGAAGCCGGAAUCGCUAGUAAUCGCGGAUCAGAAUGCCGCGGUGAAUACGUUCCCGGGUCUUGUACACACCGCCCGUCACACCAUGGGAGUCGGGAAUGCCCGAAGCCGGCGGCCUAACCUUACAGGAGGGAGCCGUCGAAGGCAGGCCCGGUGACUGGGGUGAAGUCGUAACAAGGUACC
rnacentral:rRNA from 1 species